ACAUGGACGCGUAGCUGUCCGCGUACUGCUCCAGGCGGUACCGACUGGCCAGGCCUGCCACAUAGGCCUGCUCCUUGCCCCAGCGCAGAGCCUCCACCUCAGCUGCUGCCUCAGGGCUGCUCGGGGCAGCUGUGCCUUCCUGAGAAUCCAGACUCAAGUUUGUGGGCCCCAAUGCCCCCAGCCUGACCACCAACUGCUCCACUCUGACCUGGCUCCUCAGAGACACUGUCUCCCAAAGUGCUGGACAUGGACGCAGCAGAGGGCAAGGUCUGCAGGCUGCCCACGUUGGGACAGCAGAUGGAAGGCUCCGUGUCUGCAGGAAAAAACGAAGCCGUGCACUUUCCAGUCGGUGCCUCUGGAUUCUCCACAGUGCCCUCUGCUCCCGGCGAGCUGCCUCUGCAGACAGCUUGCUAUAGUGGUCCACCAGUGCCUGCCUGAAGCCAUACCCAGAGUGGACACAGUCACCAGUCACUGCACUGUCUGUGGGCACCCCCAGGCAAGGAGGAAUGUUCCCAUGGGCAUGUUCCUGGGGCCCCUAUCCUCCAUCUCCCCCCAAGAACCCCUGGGGCUCCCUGGGUGGGCUAGUCUGGUAGGGGCCCCUAGCCGGCAGAUGGCCAGUCAGGGCUAGACAGACGUCUCUGAACAAUACCCAGAGAACCCACACGGCCUGAGGUAAGGAACUGAGCACAGAGCUGAGGGCCAGCCUGACGGGAGAUGCACUCUCCUGCUCUACAAGUUCAGACCCCAGAGAACUGAAGACGGACACAAAAUAGCACACAGAGCAGACCCAACACAAACCCAGUGAUUCUGAGCCUCCCACAAGCAGGCAGCUGGACCCACACCUGGACUGGCUCGCCCUAGUUUGACCACCACAGGGUGGGGAAGGGGCCUCUGCCUGGUUCCCUGUGUGGGUAAGCAGAAGGCUACUCACAUGGAGAGCCACACAGCCCAAGCCCAGCACACACAGGAGGCACACCCUCACCAGGUCCAUGACAGUGUCAGAAGCAGGCGCAGCAAGCGUCCUGUGACAACGCAGGGAAGUGGCCACCCCUCACAGAGGGAUGAAAGUCUUCUACUGGAAGACUCAACUCCCAGUUCAUGGGACAAACUAAUGUACUGCAGGAGACAGACUUUCAGGAGCUACAUGGGAUGUGGGCUGUCCCUUUGGGCCAGUGACAGGGCUAAGAUAAAUAGGAGCUGUUUAAAAGUCAGACAGCGGGGUACAGCUCAGUGGUAGAGCACUUGCCUAGCAUUCGUGAGGCCCUGGGUUCAUUCCCAGAACAAUGGGAAAAGUUUUUAAAGGUAAAACUAAGCUUUCUUUUUUCUUUUUUUGGUGGUACUGUGGAUUGAACCCAGAGCCUUUGCAUGCGAGGCAAGAACUCUACCAACUGAGCUAUGUCCCAGCCCCAAAAUAAAUAAUUUUAAGGUAAACAAAUAGACAAAGAGCCUAGACACCAAUCAUGCCAUGUGACAUGCCAACCAGCAAAAGGGCACUCUAGAUAGCUGAGGGCACCCAGCUUGUCAGCGGCCCCAGCACGAAGCAGGGGCAUGGCUCAAUGCACCAGCCUCUCCACCACACUGCGUGCCUGCACUCCUUGAGAUUAAAUAGCCAUCACUGGCAUUUAAGCCUGCACUGUGCCUGUGCCUGCGGCUGCCCCACCUGGCCUUCCUGUCCAGCUCUUCCUCCAGGGCUGUCAGCCGCUUCUCUCGGUCCCGGACCUCACGAGCAUAGCUGAAGUCAUCUUCCAGUUCUUCCUGUCGGGCCGCCAGGCGUCGCUACCCAACAAACAGCCCUGUUUGCUAAAUGGGGCUUCAGCAGCCAGAACCAAGGGGGGCUAGGCCCACCCACCUUCCGGUCCAGGACCUGCAGGCUGGGCCCACCCACCUCCUGGUCCUUCACAAACUGCUCCUUUAGACGCUGAAAUUGCUCUCGCUUCCGGGCAUCCAAGGCCAUCUGCUCGGACAUCUGCCGGUCUGUGUUGGAAGUCAUGAGGAGCCCCAACAGAAGACCCAGGCCACAGAGGGGAGGAUUUGGAGCCAAACUUACCGCUCAGCUCACUCAGGACCCUGGAGGCUGCUUCCCGGGCAUGGACAAUUAAUUCUUGUUUUGCAAUUUCCAUACGUAGUUCCUACAAAGACAAUAAACAAAGCACCCUCA